rnacentral:lncRNA from 1 species
GAGCAUCUAAAAAAUCUAAACACUAUUACAAGACCAAUAAUAUACAUAAUGGAAAUUAAAUAUUAAUGGAAGAAAUUUGGUGUCGCGAACGUUGGCAGUCGCAUUGCUCAGUUAUGAUAAAAAGUCUCCAAUCAGCAUCAGAACCCACUACUGGGUGAACAAAUACCUGCAUCUGCACACGAGGUGUAGGGAGUAAAGUGGGUAUUCCAACUCAAUGAGUAAUAAAAGUAAAUAACAACUGACCAGUAAGAAAUCACGUAAAACAUAUCGUCAUGUUGUAUAGAAGCAGAGAAAAAUCCUUAAAUGGGGAAAACUAGUGAAAACUUGUGAAAAACAUUAGAAAUAUCUUGGCUCAGUUUUAAACCUCUUUUGAAAAUGAUCUUUUCAACGGUUACCAAAAAGCGCUUCAAAAUAAUUUGCGACGCUAUGCACAAAAAUCUGCCCCUCAAGCAACACCCUUGUUCCUGGUCAGCCUCUCGGGCCCUAACACUCAAUGAUUAGAUAGUACCAGCACAUCAGAUAAAUAUCUCAAGAAAACAUCACAAACAAUAAUUAAUGAACAAAUACAUGAAUGCAAUGCAAUGCAUAUGAUGGUACAUUCCAGUACCCAUUGCGGCGCGCAGCCCGAGCCACCCAUAUCAUUUAACGUCGACGGCGCUCACAGGGGUGUGUACAGACUCCAUAGGGGCUCCUACAGCUCAAGUGCAAUAUCAAUCCAUCUCUUGGCAUCAAUCACAUCUUAGGCAGCUAUUGUUACCUGACCCUUUUACAUCAUACAGUACCAUUAUUACCACUAUUUCAAAUCAGUGUUCCGGCACGCAGCCCGAGCCACCCCAAAUCAGUCCAGAAAAACGUCAUAAACUCCUUGGGAAUUUAUAAAAUAGUAGUUCUCUGCCCAAAAUAACAAAUAAAAUAUCAUUUGAGUAUUCAAAACUUAGAAAUAUGGCUAAGUUUGCAAAACAAUAUUAAAAACCUUGGACUGAAACCAAAUGAUAUGCAAAAUAUGCUAAAACAGUAAUAUCAAUCCUUGAAGGGGUCCACAAGUCGGCACAAGGCCCCAAACAAUGGCAACAAGCCUAAUUCAUAGUAAUAAAAUAAGCGUCUCAAUCGACAAUAUAAUAGAAAUAACACUUGGGAUGGACCAAGUCACAAUUCCCAAUAGAAAACGACCCCACACUCGUUAUAGAAUGUGUAUCAUGCCUCAAUAUAGCGUUACGAUGUGAAAUCUAGGGUUUCAAACCCUUAGGAUAUCAUUUACAAGCAUUACUCACCUCAAGACGACCAAAAGUCUAGCUUGUUAUGCCCUUGACUCUCGAAUUGGACUCCUCGUGCGAUAAAUCUGCCCCAAAAUAAAGACGAAUAUGUCGCAUUAUGCUAAAGGGACAAUACCCAAUCGAAAGCAAUCGAAAAAUAUCAAAAUUCACGUAUUUGACAAAACCCGAGCCCCGAGCCCACGUCUCGAAACUCAGAAAUUUGUACACCAAAAUGUUCUUCGUCUUCUCACGAGCCCGUACAUAUAAAUAACACAAAAAUCGGAGCUCAUUUGGCCCUUCAAAUCGACCCUAGAAAAUCUCAAAAUCAUAGGCCCUAAAACCCCACUUUUCUACUGAUUUUCAUGUUCUAAUUCACAUAUAAUCUUGUAUUUAACUUGGAAAUAAGUAGAAAUAACUCACCUUUAAUGCUUGAUGAAAUCCCCCAUGAAAUUCUCUCCAAAAU